CCAGCCCCGCCUCCAGUCUGCACCCCCUGGUUCCCACCGGGUAGCACCUCCAUCCCACCCACCGUCGCUGAACACCUACCCUGUGUCCCAGGUGCCAGGGGAUGCUGUGAGAUUCAGGAGAAACCAAUUUUCUCAUCCUCCAGACCUGGCCAAGGUGCUUCGGUUCCGGCGACUACAGAGCUGGCGUGAGACAGACGGUCUCCCAGGGGAAGGUGUGGGUCACAGGCUGGGCUCUCAGGUCUGGAAAAGUCCUCAGG
rnacentral:lncRNA from 1 species